rnacentral:rRNA from 1 species
GUCACACUAUCGUUAACUGAAUACAUAGGUUAACGAGGCGAACCGGGGGAACUGAAACAUCUAAGUACCCCGAGGAAAAGAAAUCAACCGAGAUUCCCCCAGUAGCGGCGAGCGAACGGGGAGCAGCCCAGAGUCUGAAUCAGCUUGUGUGUUAGUGGAACGGUCUGGAAAGUCCGACGGUACAGGGUGAUAGUCCCGUACACCAAAAUGCACAGGUUGUGAACUCGAAGAGUAGGGCGGGACACGUGGUAUCCUGUCUGAAUAUGGGGG